ensembl:lncRNA
CCCCCAAAAUGCCCCAAAUUCCCCCAAAAAUCUCAAAAUUCCACCCGAAAAUUUCAAAUUUCCCCCCAAAACCCCAAAUUUUCCCCCUAAAUCCCCCAAAUUCUUCCCAAAAAUCCCCAAAAUUCCCCAAUAAUCCCCAAAAUUCCUCCCAAGUAUUUCAAAUUUUCCCCCAAAAUCUCAAAAUUCCGCCCAAAAAUUUGAAAUUUCCCCCCGAAAAUCUCAAAAUCCUCCCCAAAAUCCCCAGAUUUCCACCCAAAAAUCCCCAAAAAUUUCAGAUUUCUCCCCCAAACCCCCAAAUUUCCACCCAAAAAGCCCCAAAAUCCCCCGAUUUCCCCCCAAAAUCCCGAACCUGCGUCCGCCGCCGCCUCCGGCUCCCCAAAAUCCCGUCGGGGCCCCUCCCCCACCCAGGAAACCGCGGCCGCCGUGGGGCAGGAAAUGUGUGGGGUGGGGGAGGGGCGGAGAGAGACGCCGAGAAAAAUUUGGGGGGGUCUGGAAUUUAUUGGGGGGGUCCGGGACCCCCAAAUGUGGGGCUGGGGUCCCAAAUGUGGGGCUGGGGUCUCAAAUGUGGGGCUGGGACCCCAAAUGUGGGUCUGGGGUCAGUUGGUCACUCCUGGUCACUCUGGGGUCACUCUGAGGUCACUUUGGGGUCACUCCUGGUCAUUUUGGGGUCAUUUUGGGGUCACUCAGUGGUCACUCAGACGCUUGGGUGGUCACUCUGGUGGUCACUCGGUCACUCCUGGGUGGUCACUCCCAACUGGUCACUCUGGUGGUCACUUGGAGACUUUGGUGGUCACUCCAGGGUGGUCACUCAGGUGGUCUCAGGUGGUCACUCUGAAGUCACUCCGGGGUCACUCAGUGGUCACUCUGAGACUCUGGUGGUCACUCCGUCACUCCUGGCUCACUCUGGUGGUCACUUGGUGAGUCUUGGGUGGUCACUCCAGGGUGGUCACUCAGGUGGUCACUCAGAGACUUUUAGAUGGUCAGUGGUCACUCAAGUGGUCACUCUUGGGUGGUCAGGUGGUCACUCGGUUACUCUGGAGUGGUCACCCCAUGGUCAGGUCAUCUCUCAGGCCAUGCUGUGGUCACUCCGCGGUCACUCGGUGGUCAGUUGGUCACUCUGUGGUCACUCUCAGGUCAUCCCGGGGCCACCCUGUGGUCACUCAGUGGUCACUCCAUCACUCUCAGGCCAUCCUGUGGUCAGUGGUCACCCCGUGGUCACUCGGUGGUCACUCAGUGGUCAGUGGUCACUCAGUGGUCACUCGGUGGUCACUCGGUGGUCAGUUGGUCACUCUCAGGCCAGCACGUGAGCCACCGGCACUUUCCGUGUCCGGCCUCCGGCCGCGGGCGGGACCACGAUGGCCGCGGGGUCGUCGUCGUCGUCGCCGUCCGGGGGCAGCCCUGGGGGAGGUUCCGGAACGUUCCGGGGGGUUCUGCAACCUUCCAUGGGGUUCUAUGGGGGUUCUGGAACCUUCCAUGGGGUUCUAUGGAGGUUCUAUGGGGGUUCUGGAACCUUCCAUGGGGUUCUAUGGAGGUUCUAUGGAGGUUCUGGAACCUUCCAUGGGGUUCUAUGGAGGUUCUGGAACCUUCCAUGGGGGUCCUGGAACCUUCCAUGGGGUUCUAUUGGGGUUCUAUGGAAGGUUCUGGGUUUGUAUGGGGGUUCUGGAACCUUCCACGGGGUUCUGGAACCUUCUAUGGGGGUUUUGGAACCUUCCAUGGGGUUCUAUUGGGUUUCUAUGGGGGUUCUGGAACCUUCCAUGGGGUUCUAUUGGGUUUCUAUGGGGGUUCUGGAACCUUCCAUGGGGUUCUAUUGGGUUUCUAUGGGGCUUCUGGAACCUUCCAUGGGGUUCUGUAACCUUCUGUGGGGUUCUAGGAGGGUUCUGGAAGCUUCCAUGGGGUUCCAUGGACGUUCUGGAACCUUCCAUGGGGGCUCUGGUGCCUUCCAUGGGGUUCUAUUGGGUUUCUAUGGGGGUUCUGGAAGGUUCUAUAGGAGUUCUGGAACCUUCUAUGAGGUUCUGGAACCUUCCAUGGGGUUCUAUGGAGGUUCUGGAAUCUUCCAUGGAGGUUCUGGAACCUUCCAUGGGGUUCUAUUGGGUUUCUAUGGAGAUUCUGGAAUGUUCUAUGGAGGUUCUGGAACCUUCCAUGGGGUUCUAUGGGGGUUCUGGAACCUUCUGUGAGGGUUCUAUUGGCUCCCAUUGGGUUCUACGAGGGUUCUGGAAGGUUCUAUUGAGUUCUAUGGGGUUUCUAGAAGGUUCUAUGGGGUUUCUGGAAGGUUCCAUGGGUUUCUACAAGACCCUGUGGGGUUUCUAG